rnacentral:rRNA from 1 species
UAGGGAAUCUUCCGCAAUGGGCGAAAGCCUGACGGAGCAACGCCGCGUGAGUGAUGAAGGUCUUCGGAUCGUAAAACUCUGUUAUUAGUGAAGAACAAAUGUGUAAGUAACUAUGCACGUCUUGACGGUACCUAAUCAGAAAGCCACGGCUAACUACGUGCCAGCAGCCGCGGUAAUACGUAGGUGGCAAGCGUUAUCCGGAAUUAUUGGGCGUAAAGCGCGCGUAGGCGGUUUUUUAAGUCUGAUGUGAAAGCCCACGGCUCAACCGUGGAGGGUCAUUGGAAACUGGAAAACUUGAGUGCAGAAGAGGAAAGUGGAAUUCCAUGUGUAGCGGUGAAAUGCGCAGAGAUAUGGAGGAACACCAGUGGCGAAGGCGACUUUCUGGUCUGUAACUGACGCUGAUGUGCGAAAGCGUGGGGAUCAAACAGG